AGGGUCUGGCCUGCCCACUGAUAGUUAUAAUUAUUUAAGAGCCGCGGUAAUUUGACCGUGCAAAGGUAGCAUAAUCAUUAGUUUUUUAAUUGGAAACUUGUAUGAAUGGUCGGACAAAGAAAAACUGUCUUUAUUACAAAAAUUGAAGUUAACUUUUAAGGUGAAAAGGCUUGAAUGCUUCAAGGGGACGAUAAGACCCUAUAAAGCUUUAUAUGUUGAUUAAACCUGAUUGAUUUAUCAUGUAAAGGUUUAGUUUAAUUGUCAUAUUUUAUUGGGGCGAUAUAGGUAUUAUUUUUAUUAACUGUUUAAUAUAAAUACAUUAAUGGAUGAGAUUUAAUAAUUGAUCCUUUCUAGAGAUUAAAAGACUAAGUUACUUUAGGGAUAACAGCGUAAUUUUUUUUGAGAGUCCUUAUCGAAAAAGAAGUUUGCGACCUCGAUGUUGAAUUAAAAUGUCUAUAUAAUGCAGCCGUUAUAAGAGAAGGUC
rnacentral:rRNA from 1 species